rnacentral:lncRNA from 1 species
UCUGGUUCCAGAGGGUGAGGCCCAGGAGUGGAUGUCUGCUGGAUGCUUCUGACCCUCAUCGAAGGAGACAGUGCCUGCCAGAAGGCACCAGUAUGGAGACAGAGACUGUCAACCACAUGGAGAGGUGGUACAGGUCUGACUCAGGGGCCAGGAAUGGCCUCACCAUUACUUGGAGGUAAGAGGGUCCCCUGACGAAGGUAGUGUUAGUGGCUCCACCACUAAGGGGCGCUAAGGGGCCCCUGGGCAAAGUCUCAUGUUUCUUCCCGAAGCAGAUGGAUCUGUUUCCUCUCCCAACACAUCUGCUUUGUGGCAUCGCCCCCUGUUCCAGGUCCUGCCCUCCCAAUGCCACACCCUGAAGGAGUUCUUUGCCACCAGCUCAGGGAGGGUGUGCUUUGGCUGAGGGAGAGAGGAGGGAAGACAGGUUUGCCACAAUCUGGACAGGUCUUGCCCUUGGGAUCCUGAGAGAAAAGGAGUCCCCAGAACUGACAGGAGCCAUGUCCCCAGGACACUGUCCUGUUUCCUUAGAAAACAAGUUCUUUCAGGUCUUUUCUUUUCCUUGUUUAGACUGAAGGUACUUCCUGGACCCAAAGGGAAGAAUCAGAAGGCUGAGCCCAUUAAUGGUUCCUCACCAGACCUUCUUUGGUCCACUCGCUGUCUUCACUCUUCGCUCAUCCUUGGAGGGUACCAGAGGCCAUAUUGGGUCUUACUUUUUGCGAUGCCCCAUAGGAGAAAGAAAACCAAAACCUAUGAAUCACAUCCAAAACUAAGUGAAAGAUUUGAACCCGGUAGGGAGUAUUGCUACUGCAAGCAUUUGCUGAAAGGACAGAGAAUCUGAAAACUCGAAAGCUCUGGGUGAAGAGUUGGACUGGAGCGAGGAGAGUGGUCGCCGGCACAAUGAAGUAUUUUGAGUUUGAUGUUUUCUGACCCUCUGAAGCUAAACUAUAGCCCAUUUCAUUUUCAAACAGCCUCCCGGGAGCCCUGGGAUGACCUCAGUCAGGAUGUUCUCAAACAUAAUCUAGCCUGCGCAGUAACCUGACAAGAAUUGGUUUAUUUAAGGAACGCGGUGGGUCUUUUAGCCUCUAAAGGAACCCAUAGGUCAUUUGUAAAGGAACCAGCAUGACCUGUUGGAACUUCUCUUGGCACUGAUGCUCAGCCGUUUCAGGUUAGAACUUUGUUGCUUUGAGCUGGAAGCUCCACUGAAACUUGUGUAAUGGAGACCACAUAAAAUGUAGUUUCCCUUAAGAUUUUAGGAUGAGCAGACAAGGACUUUAAAACAGCUCUAAUUAAUUCAAGAAAGUAGAGGGAAGUGU